AUUGAACGCUGGCGGCAGGCCUAACACAUGCAAGUCGAGCGGCAGCGGGUCCUUCGGGAUGCCGGCGAGCGGCGGACGGGUGAGUAAUGCCUAGGAAUCUGCCUGGUAGUGGGGGAUAACGUUCGGAAACGGACGCUAAUACCGCAUACGUCCUACGGGAGAAAGUGGGGGAUCUUCGGACCUCACGCUAUCAGAUGAGCCUAGGUCGGAUUAGCUAGUUGGUGGGGUAAAGGCUCACCAAGGCGACGAUCCGUAACUGGUCUGAGAGGAUGAUCAGUCACACUGGAACUGAGACACGGUCCAGACUCCUACGGGAGGCAGCAGUGGGGAAUAUUGGACAAUGGGCGAAAGCCUGAUCCAGCCAUGCCGCGUGUGUGAAGAAGGUCUUCGGAUUGUAAAGCACUUUAAGUUGGGAGGAAGGGCAGCUAGUUAAUACCUGGUUGUUUUGACGUUACCAACAGAAUAAGCACCGGCUAACUUCGUGCCAGCAGCAGCCGCGG
rnacentral:rRNA from 1 species